AUUGAACGCUGGCGGCAGGCUUAACACAUGCAAGUCGAGCGGAUCCUUCGGGAUUAGUGGCGCACGGGUGAGUAACGCGUGGGAACAUGCCCUUAGGUACGGAACAACAGUUGGAAACGACUGCUAAUACCGUAUAAUAUCGAGAGAUCAAAGAUUUAUCGCCUAAGGAUCGGCCCGCGUUAGAUUAGAUAGUUGGUGGGGUAAAGGCCUACCAAGUCUACGAUCUAUAGCUGGUCUUAGAGGAUGACCAGCCACACUGGAACUGAGACACGGUCCAGACUCCUACGGGAGGCAGCAGUGAGGAAUAUUGGACAAUGGGCGAAGGCCUGAUCCAGCCAUGCCGCGUGAAUGAUGAAGGCCUUAGGGUUGUAAAGUUCUUUUAGCUGUGAAGAUGAUGACUGUAGCAGCAGAAAAAGCCCCGGCUAACUCCGUGCCAGCCGCCGCUGUAA
rnacentral:rRNA from 1 species